UUAAUUUGACCUUUUGCUAAGAUCGAGUGUAAUCUAUUCUUAUCAGUUUAACACCUGGUACAUCAUCUAUCCAAGGACAGUAUAUUAAAUGGAUUUUUGGAACUGAGGAGAAAGUAU
rnacentral:snRNA from 1 species